UACGUAGGGUGCGAGCGUUAAUCGGAAUUACUGGGCGUAAAGCGUGCGCAGGCGGUGAUGUAAGACCGAUGUGAAAUCCCCGGACUUAACCUGGGAACUGCAUUGGUGACUGCAUCGCUCGAGUAUGGCAGAGGGGGGUAGAAUUCCACGUGUAGCAGUGAAAUGCGUAGAGAUGUGGAGGAAUACCGAUGGCGAAGGCAGCCCCCUGGGUCAAUACUGACGCUCAUGCACGAAAGCGUGGGGAGCAAACAGG
rnacentral:rRNA from 1 species